GACAAUUUCUCUAGUGGUUGGAGAUUGGAACGAUACAGAGAAGAUUAGCAUGGCCCCUGUGCAAGGAUGACAUGCACAAAUCGAGAAAUGGUCUAAAUUUUU